GCCGCGUUAGCUCAUUUGGUAGAGCAGUUGAUUUGUAAUCAUCAGGUGGUCAGUUCGAUUCCGACACGCGGCACCA
rnacentral:tRNA from 7 species